rnacentral:misc_RNA from 1 species
AACUUUUGGCAAUGGAUCUCUUGGUUCUGGCCUCGAUAAAGAACGCAGCGAAAUGCGAUAAGUAAUGCGAAUUGCAUAAUUCCAGUGAGUCAUCGAAUCUUUGAACGCACAUUGCGCCCUUUUGUAUUCCGAAGGGCAUGCCUGUUCGAGCGUCAUUAUCACCCCUCAAGCCCCCGGCUUGCUGUUGGACGGCUGGUGACGAUUUCGUCACCCCUCCCAAAGACAAUGACGGCGGCCUCGUUGGACCCCCGGUACACUGAGUUCCUCACCGAAAACGUAUCGGAUCAAGGGUACACGGGGCACGGUCUGCCUCCCCUCAGGGAGAACUUUUCUAAGGUUGACCUCGGAUCAGGUAGGGAUACCCGCUGAACUUAAGCAUAUCAAUAAGCGGAGGCU